CACUGUCACAGGGAGAAGAGAGACAGACAGACGAGGCCUCACGGCAGCGUAGCAGUUGGCACCACGCUAGUACAACUCGGGGCGAUUGGGCGUUCAAUCGCAGCGCCAUUCCAUUGUCAUCCCCGCGUUUACCCCAGUGUCCUCCCACAGUCCACAGAUGGGCAGAAUAGGCUAAUUGAUCAUUGUAAAUCGUCCGUGAUUAGAUUAGGGUUAAUCGGAGUUGUGCUGUUGCCGGGGCAGGGGGACGACGGAAACUCUGCAAAGUCCGCACAGAGAGCACUGGAGAUCGUGAUCGAUGUCGUCUCUCUGCAUCAAGGAGCCACCGAAUUUACCUGCUGCGCCACGAACAAAUACCACUGCAACAGAGGAAAAGAACCAAUGUCUCCUGGCUAAGUCAUUGCCCCCCACCUCCCCCCACCCGAGACUCGGAGGCGGCAGACGGCUGUGGCUGAGACCACACCGGUCCGCAACCCGCGAACAGACAGACACAGCCUCAGGGUGCAGGAGAGCUCUCGUCUCGGCUCUUACGCAAGCGCAGUCUGCGGGUGAGCCCGGCAAACCACAAAGCAGACCCAUCCCGCGGGGCAGAGCCAGGACCACGGCCCGUGAGUCACCGGGUGAAAUGGGUCCCGAUAAAAGAAGAGGAGUUGCUCGUACAGACAACAGUUGCAAGGUGCAGCCCUCUCCUUCUGUGACCCUCUGAGAAAGAUGAGUCUCUGUCUGAUCGUACUGGCUGCCUUGUGUCUGGGCCUGUCCCUACUCACAGCUCCUGUCUCAACCUACCAGCAACAAGGUCAUCAACAAACAGAGAUUCGCCCUACAUCCUCCGUAGAAGAGCUCAGGACCUGAUCACUCAGAUCAAAUAAUUCAUCUCCUCCUUCCUCAACAACCCAGAGUUCCUGCAAGACAUGAUGCUCCUGCACGACCAGCUCACCAGUUCCAUACGGAAAAUAUUACAUUAUUGACGAAUAUCCCAGGAUCGUCUCCGACGGAGGAACUAAAGGCCCGUCACUGAACUGCCGCUAAAUUUCAUAUCGUUAGUGCUUAAUCUACCUUGGAAGUGAAACACGUCAGAGCUCGAAAUUUGGCCCAUCGCUUCUCAAUUGGGCCGGCUGAUUGCCAAAUGUAUUGCUUUAUUUUUUAACGACCUCCUGCAUUUUACCCCUCCUUCAGUUCAUUUCCUCGGCCCCUCCGAGCAGGUUCCACCACCCAUGCGCCGUUCGGCAUCACUCCUUCCUCUCCCCUCGCCCCUCAAGUCCCCCUCCCCUUCCCUCCAACCUCCCACUCGCACUUUUCACCCGUUUCCCUAGCGGUGGUACCUCUGCGGCUCUGUCUCCAGGAAGCCCCCCGUCCCUUUAGGUAUUUCUGCAGUUCUCUCGCAAUCUCAUGCCGCUCCGUCGUCUCCCCUUUCCCUUCUUCAUCCCCGGAUCGCGCUCUCUCAACCACCCAGUCUGUAACAUUAUAGAUUGGACGAGGCCGCUCCGAUGUUAACUUCAAUCGGGCAUAUCGGGAAUUUCAGAUCUGUGUAGUCCGUACUCUUUUUCUUAGCCGGUGUGAACCAAAAAAUAAGUAAUAAAUCGUUUUUUUUUUCAAAACCUUCACUAACGAUGAACAGUUUGUCGUUCAUUUGCGGUGGGAUAAUCCAGGUAGAUGGAGCUCCCUCAAGCGGCUCUUUGAACGCGGGCGACUG